rnacentral:tRNA from 1 species
GCUUGUCUAGCUCAGUCGGUAGAGCGCAAGGCUCUUAACCUUGUGGUCGUGGGUUCGAGCCCCACAGUGGGCG